UACGGAGGGGGCUAGCGUUGUUCGGAAUUACUGGGCGUAAAGCGCGCGUAGGCGGACCUGCAAGUCGGGGGUGAAAGCCCGAGGCUCAACCUCGGAACUGCCUUCGAUACUGCGGGUCUCGAGUCCGGGAGAGGUGAGUGGAAUUCCUAGUGUAGAGGUGAAAUGCGUAGAUAUCUGGAGGAACACCGGUGGCGAAGGCGACGUCCUGGACCGGCAUUGACGCUGAGGCGCGAAAGCCAGGGGAGCAAACGGG
rnacentral:rRNA from 1 species